rnacentral:rRNA from 1 species
GGAUUACUGUUUGGUAGUAUGCUAACACUAGCAAGUCGAACGGGAGAAAAGUAAGAGAAAAGUGGAGCAAUCUGCUAAGUAACUUAUCUAGUAUCUAGUGGCGAACGGGUGAGUAAUACUUAUCUUACCUACCGUUUAGUGGGGACUAUAGGAAACCAUAGGGAAUACCGCAUAUCCUGGCUUUGGCCAGGAAAGAAAGUCACAAAACUUUCGCUAAAUGAUGGGGAUAAGCCGCAUCAGCUGAUGAAAAGUAGGGUAAUGGCCUACUUGAGGCAAUGACGCGUAGCCGGCCUGAGAGGGUGAACGGCCACAAUGGAACUGAGACACGGUCCCUACUCCUACGGGAGGCAGAAGUGGGGAAUUUUUGGCAAUGGACGAAAGUCUGACCAAGCAAUACUACGUGAAGGAGGAAGGUCUACGGAUUGUAAACUUCUUUACCAGAGGGUACUGACGCAAGAAUUGCCCUUUGGCAAAAAGUCACGACUAACUACGUGCCAGCAGUCGCGGUAAGACGUAGGUGGCGAACGUUAUCCGGAAUUAUUGGGCGUAAAGGGUGCGUAGAUGGCUUGACAAGUUAGUGGUGGGAAAUCGAGGCUCAACCUCGUGGAAGUCACUAAUACUAUCAAACUAGAGUGCAGGAGAGGUUAAUGGAACUCCAUGUGUAGCGGUAAAAUGCGACGAUAUAUGGAUGAACACCAAUAAAGGCGAAGGCAGUUAACUAUUCUGCUACUGACAUUGAGGGCACGAAAGCGUGGGGAGCAAAACGGAUUAGAUACCCGUGUAGUCCACGCCCUAAACGAUGAGUACUAGAUAUUGGGCAUUUUGUUCAGUGUCGCUAGUUAACACAGUAAGUACUCCGCCUGGGUAGUACGGUCGCAAGGCUGAAACUCAAAGGAAUUGACGGGGACUCGCACAAGCAGUGGAGCAUGUGGUUUAAUCCGAUAUGACGCGUAGAACCUUACCAAGACUAUUAGUAGUGCAAAGUUGAAAGAAACUUCAACGGAGGUUACCAUUACUAUGAAGGUGCUGCAUGGUCAUCGUCAGCUCGUGCCGUGAGGUGUAUGGUUAAGUCCUAUAACGAGCGCAACCCUUAUGCUUAGUUACCAGCACGUAAAGGUGGGAUUCUCUAGGCAGACUGCAGAUGUGUUUAACACAUCAACUGGGUAACCAGGAGGAAGGAGAGGACGACGAUUGAUCGUCAUGGCCCGUAAUGUCUUGGGCGACACACGUGCUACGAUGGUUAGGACAAAGGGUCGCCAACCCGCGAGGGGGAGCUAAUCUCAAAAAACUAACCUCUAUCGUUCAGAUUGGAGGCUGCAACUCGCCUCCAUGAAGCAGGAAUUGCUAGUAAUCGUGAUCAGCCAUGUCACGGUGAAACGUUCUCGAGUCUGCACUCACCGCCCGU